AUGAACGCUGGCGGCGUGCCUAAUACAUGCAAGUCGAACGAAUCUCUUCGGAGAUGAGUGGCGAACGGGUGAGUAAUACAUAGGUAACCUGCCCCUGUGCGGGGGAUAACAGGAGGAAACUCCUGCUAAUACCGCAUAGCCAUGAGCACCGCAUGGAGCUCAUGCCAAAUAUCCUUUAUGGGAUAGCGCAGGGAUGGACCUAUGGCGCAUUAGCUGGUUGGCGGGGCAACGGCCCACCAAGGCAACGAUGCGUAGCCGGCCUGAGAGGGCGGACGGCCACAUUGGGACUGAGACACGGCCCAGACUCCUACGGGAGGCAGCAGUAGGGAAUUUUCGGCAAUGGGGGAAACCCUGACCGAGCAACGCCGCGUGAGCGAAGAAGGCCUUCGGGUCGUAAAGCUCUGUUGUAAAGGAAGAACGGCGCAUACAGGAAAUGGUAUGCGAGUGACGGUACUUUACCAGAAGCCACGGCUAACUACGUGCCAGCAGCCGCGGUAAUACGUAGGUGGCGAGCGUUAUCCGGAAUCAUUGGGCGUAAAGAGGGAGCAGGCGGCCGCAAGGGUCUGUGGUGAAGAAAGACCGAAGCUAAACUUCGGUAAGCCAUGGAAACCGGGCGGCUAGAGUGCGGAAGAGGAUCGUGGAAUUCCAUGUGUAGCGGUGAAAUGCGUAGAUAUAUGGAGGAACACCAGUGGCGAAGGCGACGGUCUGGGCCGCAACUGACGCUCAUUCCCGAAAGCGUGGGGAAGCAAAUAGGAUUAGAUACCCUAGUAGUCCACGCCGUAAACGAUGGUCACUAAGUGUCGGGGGUCAAACCCCGGUGCUGCAGUCAACGCAAUAAGUGACCCGCCUGAGUAGUACGUUCGCAAGAAUGAAACUCAAAGGAAUUGACGGA
rnacentral:rRNA from 1 species